rnacentral:tRNA from 1 species
GGAAGGGUAGCGAAGAGGCUAAACGCGGCGGACUGUAAAUCCGCUCCUUCGGGUUCGGGGGUUCGAAUCCCUCCCUUUCCA